rnacentral:rRNA from 1 species
AACGAACGCUGGCGGCAUGCCUAACACAUGCAAGUCGAACGAGACCAUCGGGUCUAGUGGCGCACGGGUGCGUAACGCGUGGGAACCUGCCCUUAUGUUUGGAAUAACUCCCCGACAGGGGUGCUAAUACCGGAUAAUGUCUUCUGACCAAAGAUUUAUCGCGCUUGUGUGGGCACGCGUUGAAUUAGCUAGUUGGUAGGGUAAAAGCCUACCACGGCGACGAUCCAUAGCUGGUCAGAGAGGAAGAGCAGCCACACUGGGACUGAGACCCGGCCCAGAAUCCUACGGGAGGGAGCAGUGGGGAAUAUUGGACAACGGGCGGAAGCCUGAUCCAGCAAGGCCGCGUGAGUGAUGAAGGCCGUAGGGUUGUAAAGCUCUUUUAACCGGGAUGAUAAUGACGGUACCGGGAGAAUAAGCUCCGGCUAACUCCGUG